CAGGAGGGGCUAUGUGGCCCUGGCCCCUCUAACAUGUAGCUACAUCUGCUAGAUCUUUCUCUGCACUUCCAUUCCCAUCUGUAAUGUGAGGAAGAUCUUUCCUUCUCCUCUCAAUAGUCGUCGAGAUGAAUGGCUGCAAGGGUCUCUGUGAAUCCCUGCGAGUGACUGGGACCUCAGACUCCGUCGUAAUUCAGGCCAGACCAGACUCAUUGCAAAGUUAAAUUGUAAGGGGAAAACUUGCUGGAAUAUAAAGAACAUGGAGGCCCUCAAGGAGACCUGCUGAUUCUGCUCGAGUGGGAAUUUGGCCAGGAGAUCCUCACUUUGGUUGCAAAAGCAUAACCUGACUCCUAAGAGAUGGGUUUGACGGGGUCUCUGAUGGAGCUGCUGGCCAGCAGUGAACACAGCCUGAAGCGUCCCGGUGGCCAGCCCCAGCCCCAGCUGGCCAUCCUGGCAAAGUCCUCCAUUCACACCACCGUUGCAGGAGGCUUAAAGACUUCCCUUGUGCACAGCUGGGUAAUAAAGGCCUCCAGUAUCCUAAGUGCAGAUGGAGAGGCAGUUCCAUCCGGCUGCGUAAUAGCCGUUCAGUAUUUAAUAAAAACUGUUCUGA